GACGAACGCUGGCGGCGUGCUUAAUACAUGCAAGUCGAACGGAAAGGCCCUGCUUUUGUGGGUUGCUCGUGUGGCGAACGGGUGUGUAACACGCGAGUAACAUCCCCUUGUCUUUCGGAUAACUUUAGGAAACUCGGGCUCAUACCCGAUAUGAGCUCCUGCUCCGUGUUGGGGGUUGGUAAGUUUCGGCGGUUGUGGAUGGACUCGCGGCUUAUCAGCUUCUUGGUGUGGUAGUGGCUUACAAAGGCUGCGACGGGUAGCCGGCCUGGGAGAGUUAACGGCCACAAGGGGACUGAGAGACGGCCCAGACGGCAACGGGAGGCAGCAGGGGGGAAUAUUACAGAAUGGGGGGAAGCCUGAUGCAGCAACGCCGCGUGCGGGAUGACGGCCUUCGGGUGGUAAACCGCUUUCGAAUGUGACGAAGAGGGAGUGACGGUAAUGGGUAAAGAAGCACCGGCUAACUACGUG
rnacentral:rRNA from 1 species